rnacentral:rRNA from 1 species
UGGGGAAUAUUGCGCAAUGGACGAAAGUCUGACGCAGCGACGCCGCGUGUGGGAGGAAGCUCUUCGGGGUGUAAACCACUGUCAGGAGGGAAGAACGGCGCCGGUUCGAACAGUUCCGGCGAUUGACGGUACCUCCAAAGGAAGCGCCGGCUAACUCCGUGCCAGCAGCCGCGGUAAGACGGAGGGCGCAAGCGUUGUUCGGAAUUACUGGGCGUAAAGCGCGGGCAGGCGGUCUGUUAAGUCGUUUGUGAAAAUCCGGGGCUCAACCCCGGAAAUGCAUACGAUACUGGCAGGCUGGAGACUGGUAGAGGCUAGCGGAAUUCCUGGUGUAGCGGUGGAAUGCGUAGAUAUCAGGAGGAACACCGGUGGCGAAGGCGGCAUCCUGGACCAAUACUGACGCUGAGGAGCGAAAGCCAGGGGAGCAAACGGGAUUAGAUACCCGGGUAGUCCCUGAGCGGGCUGGCAAGGCGCAU